rnacentral:rRNA from 1 species
AAGAAGGAGCUGCCGAAGGCGGGACCGAUGACUGGGGUGAAGUCGUAACAAGGUAGCCGUAUCGGAAGGUGCGGCUGGAUCACCUCCUUUCUAAGGAA